UGCGUGCUUGUGGUAAAAAUCUCGAUUUUUACUGUCCUUUAACUCUGAGUUUUUCACAGGUUUUGGUUAACUGAUGCGAAGAGGAGAAGUUACCACUGAUGUGCUGCAGGAUAUUGCCAUGAAUUCACACAUUGAUGUUGUGCAUUUUCUAGCAUUUUCACUUGGUCAGGUGAUCCGAUCAACCAGUCCUAAACAUUAACAGCAGCCCUUCCAUGAUGCGAUACCUUUCGGCGAUACCUCUAGGAGCCUCGACACUGACCUUGGUACCAUUCGAUAACAAGACCAGAGACUUUAACGGAAGGGUUGUCUUGCUAGUUCCUGUUAUCAUUUCCAUUAUGUCCUGGUUAUUUCGCAUCUGCUGGUACGGCCUGCUUUGACUAUCAGCAAUGUUGAUUGCAUCAGGGAUCGGCAGACCAAUUUAAGGAAGACGUAUGAUUAAUAUGAUCCUUGGCUCGUUAUGUCUUUCUUCAUGGACUUUAUUCAAAUUAUAUUUCAUCUUCUUUAGGACCUCAAUAAUAACUUGAAUAGGUUUUUUGAUCCUCUAAUAAGUUGUACACAUGUUGGAAAUGCGAUUAGAGAAUGAUUUGUAAACCCGGAAAUGGCUCAAAUGUCGGCUUUGCUUUAUUUCCUCUUUUGAUAUGCAGCAGUUUUGGUCACAGCUUUGUAGCUUUAGGGAAUCGUGUGGGGGACACCGUUGAAACUCUUAUUUAAUUCACAAAUGCCUUUAUCUUCGAGUUGCAUUGGCUACCAUUCAGCGUCACUGUGAUGUCUUCGUUUGCAGCCAACUCAAUGUUGCGGCUUUGCUGGGAACACUACCGUUAGCAGUUCUGGUUUACUAUACCGUUAUGCUAUUUGCUU